CAAGAAGUUCCUGUGGGAGGAGUUGGAGCUGGUGCGGGAGGAGGUGACCUUCAUCUACCAGAAGCUGUAGGCCAAGGAGGACGGGAUCGCAGAGAACCUCUCAAACAUCCAGAAGAUGCAGCGAACGCAGGUCCUGACAAAGAUGCAGCAGCAGCAGCAGCAGCAGCAGCAGGGAUAUGAGCCAUCUGCCUGUCCCGAGGCCGAGGAGGCAGUGCCAGGAAGCGACGGCUGGAAGGACGACCUCCAGAAAGAACUGAGUGACAUAUGGUCCGCCAUCCGCGGGCUGCAGAAUUCCAUUGAUGGUCUUACCAUGUCCUCAGAGGCGCCCCGCGCGGCCUCCAGCCUCAGGGGCCACAGGGGACACCGGUGCCUGAGCCCUGGGCUCCCUUCCUGGGACACAGAGCCCCAUUGGGACCCGCCGCCUUUCAGCAAGAACGGUGCCUUCCCUUCCGGUGGGGUUCCUCCCCGGCCCCCACGACCCUUCCCCUCCUGGCCUGCCCUGCCUGAGCGUUCUGAUGUCCCCCGGGUCCGGCCAGGCCCUGAUCACCUUCUCUCUCCACAGCUUGAGCAGCCGGGGGCUGCUCGUCCUGAAGAGCCCUCCAGAGAGAAAAUAAACUCCUCACCCCGGACUCCUCUGCUCCCGCUGCUUCCGUACUGGGAACCCCCCUCACCCCUAAGUUACUCCUGGGGCCAGGGCAGGUGCAGAGACCCCAGAGAGUCGUCGGGUCGGGGGACAGCGUGAGGCCAGAUUUAGUGAGGACAAGGUCGAGGGCCAGUCUGUCCAGGCAGGAGGGCUUUCUCUUUGGUGGCGGGAGGGUGCCCUGGGGGAUCUGAUCAUCAGCAACCGAUACAUAGCCAAGUAGGAAAACGGGCCCAGGGAAAGGAGAGCCGGAGGCUCCGCGUGGAGCUGGGAACCUCCGCCCUUCCCUAGGACCCUCCAUUCUCGUUCCCGGAGAAUCUGUGCUAACUCGCCCCGCCUCCAACACAAGAGGCCCCGCCCCGAUAUGCUAAUAUGAGCGGCGAGUCCCCGCCUUA
rnacentral:lncRNA from 1 species